rnacentral:rRNA from 1 species
GACGAACGCUGGCGGCGUGCUUAACACAUGCAAGUCGAACGAAGUGGCGAACGGGUGAGUAACGCGUAAUAAACCUGCCCUUCAGCGGGGGACAACAGUUGGAAACGACUGCUAUUACCGCAUACUGAAGGAGGGGUUUGCGUGUGAUUAGCUCGUUGGAGGGGUAACGGCCCACCAAGGCGAUGAUCAGUAGCCGGUCUGGUAGGAUGAACGGCCACAAUGGGACUGGGACACGGCCCAGACUCCUACGGGAGGCAGCAGUGGGGAAUCUUCCGCAAUGGACGAAAGGCUGACGGAGCAACGCCGCGUGAGAGAUGACGGCCUUCGGGUUGUAAAGCUCUGUUAAUCGGGACGCGGUACCGGAAUAGAAAGCCACGGCUAACUACGUGCCAGCAGCUGCGGUAAUAC